GACGAACGCUGGCGGCGCGCUUAACACAUGCAAGUCGAACGGAAAGGCCUGCUUUCCCUUGUGGAUUGCGGGUACUCGAGUGGCGAACGGGUGAGUAACACGUGAGUGAUCUGCCCCCAACUUGGGUAUAAGCCUGGGAAACUGGGUCUAAUUCCCGAUAGGACUGCAGGGUGGUGCCUGUGGUGGAAAACGAUUUUCUAGUGGUUGGGGAUGAGCCCGCGGCCUAUCAGCUUGUUGGUGGGGUAAUGGCCUACCAAGGCGGCGACGGGUAGCCGGCCUGGGAGGGUGGACGGCCACAUUGGGACUGGGAUACGGCCCAGACUCCUACGGGAGGCAGCAGUGGGGAAUAUUGCACAAUGGGCGGAAGCCUGAUGCAGCGACGCCGCGUGGGGGAUGACGGCCUUCGGGUUGUAAACUCCUUGCGACCGCGAGGAAGCCACCUGGUUGGAAGGGUGGUGACGGUAGUGGUAGAAGAAGCACCGGCUAACUACGUG
rnacentral:rRNA from 1 species